UUUUAGCCCAGAUGGAAAUGGAAAGCUUUUUGAGGUCUUGUUGCAUUUUUUCUUGUAAAAAAAGAGCGACGAUAGGAGCUCCUUUUUUUGCUUAGAAAAAAGCAAACAAGCCGAAAAAACUUGUAGUGUACAGCUGGAUUGGCU
rfam:Flavobacterium psychrophilum JIP02/86 complete genome